rnacentral:rRNA from 1 species
UUAUGAACUCAAAUCAGGCAAGAGUACCCGCUGAAUUUAAGCAUAUUAGUAAGCGGAGGAAAAGAAAAUAACAAUGAUUCCCCUAGUAACGGC